rnacentral:rRNA from 2 species
UGUAGUUAAAGGAUCAACCCCUACAACUGGAGCAUUACGAUUGGAUUGUUCAACUCGAGGAAACUCACGGGGUCCCGACAUAGUAAGGAUAGACUGAUUGAGAGUUUAAUGUAGAUUGAAUAGGUGGAGGUGCUUGGCCGUUCUUAGGUGGAGGAGUGAUUUGUCGGUUUAAUUCCGUUAACAAACGAGACCUUAACCUGUUAAAUAGUUAGGCCAACGUUUGUUGGUCGACAACUUCUUAGAGGGACUAUUGGCUAUUAGCCAAUGGAAGUUUGAGGCAAUAACAGGUCUGUGAUGCCCUUAGAUGUUCUGGGCCGCACGCGCGCUACACUGAUCAAGUCAGCGAGUUUACAACCUUGGCCGGAAGGUCUGGGUAAUCUUUUGAAACUUGAUCGUGCUGGGGAUAGUCCAUUGCAAUUAUUGGACUUCAACGAGGAAUUCCUAGUAAGCGUGAGUCAUCAGCUCACGUUGAUUACGUCCCUGCCCUUUGUACACACCGCCCGUCGCUACUACCGAUUGAAUGGCUUAGUGAGGCUUUCGGAUUGGAACUAGGCAGCUGGCAACAGCAGCCUGGAUCUGAAAAGUUAUCCAAACUUGGUCAUUAGAGGAAGUAAAAGCCUUCAACCGGCUCCC